AGCCGGCCGAGCGGACUGCUUCGUUCCUCUCCGCGAACACGGAGACGACACGACCGCCUCGGGUGAGAACCGAUGCGAUAGAAUUCCAAGACGAAGCAUAAACGAGUCGAAUAGAGCCACGAGGAGGGAAGAUACGGAGGCAAGUAGGACGAUAAGGAGCAUCGUGGCUGAACGAAAAACGCGAAAUAAACGAUCGCAUACUGGAGUAACUCAGGAGAGAUGACAGUUAUCCGACUGCAACUGGGGAUUGGAAGGAUAACAGGUUGGAUAAGAGAGGUUUAUGCACCACGUUGGCUAUCGAUCAUUUCUGAAACGAUUAUAGCGCCCGAUGCACGGAGAAACCGAAUUCUGAACGUGUUUUCAUAUUCCAUUGCGAUAUCUAAUUCUCGUUGAGAUCGACUGAAAUCGAGAUACGAAGAUGAAGACCACAGUUACAAGAAGAAUAAGGAGGAAACAAAGUACAUUUUUCACGUAAUUUCACGUUAUAUAGAAAAUCAACAGCAUACGAUAGUAUUCGAGCUCUGACACAAAUAGUCUUCAAGAAAAGCGCUUGCUAGGUUAAGGAACGAUUUCCCGUGUGCACUUCGAACUUGGUAUUCGAGCAAAUAAACUCGUGAAUCGGUCAAUUUCAUCGGAAUCGUUCCAGAGAAGGACGAGAGAAAGGAGUUGAGUGUGACGAUGGAAAAGGGCCAAUAUUUUCUUUUCCAACCGCCCCGCGAUAAAUCAAUAUUUUAAUCGAGUACCCCGGGAAGCCACUUCCCGUUUGUGUUUUCUAUCGUCCGACUUUUCCGCCAGGAAAACGGAGCUACGAAAUUCUUCGAGCGCAAAAUGCGAUAUUUCGUACAAACGACUGCCUAUCAACGUUAUUUUGGCAGUGGAAGAUUAAGAAGAAAGAAAAUUCAUGCUUGUGAAACGAUACGCAAUCCGACUCGACAAACAUCUAAUUCAGAUACGUCGAGCAAUAUUUAAUAACGCUCGGACAUAGACGAGCUGCUGAAGAGACGCCAGGAAUCGUUGUUAUUUUCGGAUCUGUAUGCUGUGUUGCAGCGUCCACUUGCAAGUGGAUUCACCGAAUUGCACUGUUUCCUUCGCGUCCAAGAAAAUUGUCGAUCGAUCUCUGGAUCGUCGGAUACUCGCCACGAGAUCCGGAUACGAACACGUUUAGGUUCGUUCGUUCAACAGCCGGUGACCACCUAGCUAAAGUUCAAAGGAUACCUUUCGUCGUCUACAGGGUUGGCGCGCCCACCUUCCGAUUUCUGGGUCAGGUCAGAAGGGUGUGGUGAAUGCUUCGAGUGCUGAUCACUCGAUGAUUUAUCGAAACGAGGCUGCAAUUUCAUUAGACACCGUAGACCUUCGCCGGUGAUCACCGGUUACGCGACUUUCCGUGGGAAGGUGCGGCUUUUUCCCUCCAAGGCUACGUCAACCUUUGUGUACAAUUUCCUGAACCGUUUUCGUCCAUCGAUCCUCGCAGAAACUUUGAAAUAUCUUCCAACGAAAUACCAUUGAUAGGAACAUAGCUUUUCGAAUGAUUUAGUAAAGAAGACAUGACAUAUUAAAUUUUGAAUUUCACGAGAAACAAAUACAUUUAUCGUUUAUUAAAAUAAAAUAUCGCAUAUACGUUGAUAUCUUCGGCUCUUAAAUACUUUUUAUUUUAAACAUCACCUACAACAUGACAAAUCGCAGUUGUUCAUUAAAACGUUACGACUUUGACUUUUCGUUCCCCUCGAUUCCUACGCGCCUUCCUUCGGUAAUACGGCCGGCAUUUCUAACUCUUCGCACGUCCUUGUCGCUCUUACACGCGUCAUAACUCGCGCGUUCUCGUGAAUGAAUUUCUAUAACUCUAUCGAAUAUGUGUCCAGCGUCGCAAAACCGAACGUCCCGCGAAUGCAAAACGCUCGAAAGUAACCUAGUCGAACUUCGUCAAUCUGGGUCAUACGUUUUCCAAAAUUCAUCCGUACUUUUCAUCAUCUUAAAAAUCUCUUGAUCGUUCGAGCGUUACAGGAUCGUGAGUAAAAAGAGCUCCGGAUUGUUUUGUCUUUUGACGAAGAUUAAAGAACAAAAUGGACAAACCCAGGGAAGAGUGAACACAAGGGUGAAGAAGCAAACGAACUUGCGCGAAAAUAAACGAAGGAAAGAACCGGUGACCGUACAGCAGAGAGAACGAGGAAGCGAAAUAAGCGUAGGUCGAUAGAAGUGCUAUGAUAGGAGCAAGGUGUAAGGUAGCAGGUUGUCAGGGCAAGGGAAAGAGAGAAGGAAAAGAGGAAAGAAAAUUGGAGGAAGCGAGAAGACCGGGCCACAUAAACGGCAGUGAGAGUGAAUGGAUCGAUGAGACCGUCUCGACGCAGCGGGCGCCAUCGCCAAAACAUCGUCGGGCCAAAAUGUCAGCGUUCAUCGAUCUUUGGGAUUAGCUGGUCCGUAAUUUGCCAAAUUGCAGUGUCAUUGAGCGAUCCAUGAGCUUCCUUAAAUCGUUAAAAGCGAAGCUUCGCGUUCUUUGAUGUUUACGCAAGAAACAUUUAAACUUGCGUCAAGCAUUGCAUCGAGUUGGAGAAAUUUUUCGACUCUCAAACUCUAAUUUCUUAGAAGAAUCUAUUUAUCCGGAAGGAAACAAGAUAGGAACAGAUUCAAAGGUGUAUACACGAGAGAGAUAGAAAUUUUCUAACAGUACGAUCGAACGUGUUGCGUCACCGAUAUAGAAACGGGUACAUAUUUCGUUGCACGUCCGUCAUGCAUUGGAGCGAAGACCUUAGAAGACGGUGUACUGUCAGCUGCCGCGAUUAUGAGCUAUGCUUACUGCCAAUUUAUCUUGUGCCGUGAUCACAAUGCUAUGCUUGCAUACUCGAGGUCGUUGACCUAGCCGAGAUACGAUAUUUCCAUAUGGUUUUUCAUCGUUUCCAUGCGUAUUCGGCAAUGCAAGAUCAAACCACGUUCAAUGUAACAUCACGCUUAUAGACGAAUAUCUACGACCGUAUUACUCGUCCUAAUUGCCAUUGAUUAUUCAAUGCUCGUUCUAUAGAAUUAUUUAUGGCCCCGAUAAUUCGAUUUGCUACAUCAACUAAUACCUUCUACGUGAAUAAAUUUGCAAACACUAUCGAUCAUCCGUAAAAGUAGAUUGUCUCGACGGAAGCUAAACGAGAUCAGCCUUUGUCUUUACACUAUAAUGCCAUUGUAUCAUGUUAUAAUACCUCUUUGUGCCUCAUGUAGUCGCAAAGUGCCACGGGAAACGCAUUACCAACGUAUAAUAGAAUCCCUCGAAUGCUGGCUCUGCGUUUUCCGCAAUUAACUAAACCAUUAAAAAAAAGUAUCUAACGAGAGGCCAAUGCACAAAGUGGCUACCACAGAGAGAUUUCAAAGCAAGAAAAUCACCAGUCGAGGAAUGGUUCUUGACGAUUAGAGACGAGUUUCUUGUCGGUAAGCUCGAUUAAACCACUUUGUGUGACGACGACACAGUGGAGCCGUACACGCAUGCAAAAUAGCGCGAAUCGUCGGACCUCUUUGAUCUAGAAAGUCCAUGGGAACUCGACCAGAACCGUUCACUUUCGCGAUUUCUACGCCACAGAAUCUCUCUUUCUCUCUCUAUCUCUCUACCCUUCUACGUACUCAUGUGCAACUGAAAAAUCACGGGGUGACACAAAAGUUAUUCGGACCAUGUGUACUACCAUUACCUCCUACAGAAGUCUCCUAUAGUUUCUAAUAAACCUAUUUUUUUUAAAUUACUAAUCCUUUCACAUUGUAACAAGAUCGCGAGAAAUUCAGAAUGAAUUUAAAAAAUGACUAUUUCUCCGAUAUCUUGACGUCAUACGCAGAAAAUAUGUACACGUAAUACUAUCCACGACGGCUUAAGCUAUGUUGUAAAAGGGUCAAAAGCGGGUAGUAAAAGAAUAAAGAACUCGGAGAAUAGUUACGUAUAUCUUUAACGCCAAGACUUCUCGCAUUUCUGCUAUCAGAUAAAGAAACUACUUUUAACUUCUUAUGGAAAAUAAUAGUAAUAACCGUGACACGUAUGACAUUUGACAUUUCAGGUCAUAUAGAUGCGAGAAUAAUAGCAAGGUAAAACAAAGAAUUACUCCACUUUAUUUUUGUAAGAGGUUGCUGUCAAUGAAUCAAACAAGACACACCUGAUAUUGAAAUAACAAGACAAGACAAGAAGACAAGUCUUCACGAUGACUCGAGGCGCAAAGAUAACAUUGUCCGACUAAUUCCUCCUCGUUGGUCCGAUGACAUAAUCGACCACUGUGUGCAAUAGUGUGCAUGCAAAUCGUGGCAGUUUCUCGACGUUCGCGCAUGCCACUGCCCACGGAAGCGCAUAAUUAAUGCAACGCGACUAUUGCAAAAUCAAGGAAAGAGGGUUAGCAUCGAAGACGAGUAAUUCGACGGGGAAUGAACGCGCGUGAUGUAACCGCCUGAAAUGACCAUAAUCCCGUAUUCGUCUUCCUUCGGCCGAUUGCAAAAGAAACGCUCGAUUCAGCCUGUGUACAAUUAUUUCUUCACCACAGAAUCGUUCAAAAACUUCGGGAAGUAAAUAGCCGACGAAUAAAACAACAAGUCUGGAUUGAAAGGGAUGUUUUCGUCGAAAGGUACGUAUAGGAAGCUGGGAACAUUGAGACAGCCGAACAAUGGUAACGAGGACGUUGGCUGCUAUUCAAAAGACUCGUUUCUUCGCCGAUCAGCUGAUUGACGAGAAACUGGGACCUCUACGUUUAAUUGCCAAAACUAUACUAAUCUUAAUUAUUACCAAUUUGUUUAUCGAUUAGUUAAAUGUUACAUCUGAUCUUGAUAGAUUGUUGUCCGAUUAUUCUUCAUCAACAGUUUCUCUCGACGUUAUUCUCUUUCUCUCGUCUCUUCCACAGUUUGUAAAAGUUCUAUAUUUUGUAAAAGGUAUAGAAACUUCACUGAAUGUCUGUUUAACUAAUAUUUCCAUUGUUUGCGGUAUCUUUGAAAAGAUCGCGAAUAUCUUUCGAAAAUAUAAAAUAGCUUAUCUUUAGAGAUCGUGAAAGGCUGACGAAUCUUCUUGGUGGAUAAACUGUUUAUGGCAACAUCCUAUGCAAAUUUCUCUGUGAAAGCAGAUCACGCGAGCAAGAUUUCGUGAUGAGACAUCAUCCAUGGGUACCAUUCGAAAUUAAUAGUCAGUUUGGCGCGUAUCUGACCUAAAAAUUAGCGUGAAUUUCGCGAAAGCGGCUUACACGUUCCAACCAGGCGUGCUCGCUCGUCGCUCUUGAGUAGCUCGCUCAGCGUUUUCGCGACUUGAGUGGCCACACGAGCCUUUCAGACACGAACUUUCAGAGAGCAGACGAGGAGCGGGGUUGAGUUGGGAAAAGGGAAAAAAAUAGAUUCCAUACGAAAAGAAUCAGUGGGAAAAAGUCGCUCGUAAGAGGGAUUCCUUAACCACCCUUGAUUUCCAUCCACUUCUGGCUAAUUGACUCGACUCCAGACCGCUUUCAGCCUCGAAUUACUUCGAGCAUAAAGGAAACGAGCUUUCCAAAUUUCUCAGACGCUCUUCAGUCAUAUUUCUUUUCUUUUUUUGCUUGUCGAUAGACGGAUCAAACUCGAGGACAAAAUCGGAAAUUAAAUUGUUUUCUCGUUUAAUCUCCACCAAAAGAAAAAAACAAGGGAAAACCGAUCGAGAAAUGAAAAGGAAUUUUUCAAUGGUAGAAGCCAAGUAUUUACGUGGUGAUUUUAUCAAGACUGAACAGAAAGCUUCGACUAUAGGCGCACAGGAUAGCCGGAGCGUUGUGCAUGAACGCUUCAGCAACGAAGAAUUCGCGAAUCUGGGACAGUUUGAUCGAUAAUGGCGUAAACCUGGCCGCGGCAAUUCCAGGAAUGGCAGCCUAAUUGGAUCCUCCUUAAAUAAGUAUUUCAAUCUACCCGCAGCCCGCCGUUCUCUCAAGGCACGUCGCUCUUUUCGAGACGAACAGCCGUGCGAACGUUUUUUCGAAUCCUUUCGAAAGCCAUAGAAACAAGAAGAGGAUCACAUGGAAACAAAAAUUCGAGGAUUUUCAAGAGACGAAGACAAACUUCGUACAAAAGGGUGGAAAGUGAAGGGUGAAGUGAAGAUUGUCAUAGGGUUUGUUUGUCCGGGUUCUAUUUGGAUUUCGCGAGCCACUCGUUCAAGGUCACACGUCGUCCGCAGCAUUCAUAGUGAUGCACUAGCGUGCAUUCUGCACCGACGAGAAUCGAUAAACCACGGCAAAGGGAUUAAAACCUUCGCUAUGUAUCUCAGAACCAACAAAUUUUCAACCUCGCAACUUUUAUAUCGUUUUUAUCGUGUUUUUUAUCUAAACGUUUUCCAAUGUCAAAACUAACCAACGUAUCCAUUUGAGAUUAAUGUCUGCUCGUUUGCUAUUCAAUCGUUUAAUUUCUGUCGAGAGAAUUUCGUCAGGUUUUUAAACAUAUUAAUGGAGAAUUUUACAUGCAACUUCACGUCCCGUUCCAAACUAUAAAAAGUUCCCAACUUUCUCCCUUUUUCUCCCCUUUCCAGUGACGUGCAACUACGCAACGUGGUUAAGCUACAAGAGCAUGUAAUUUACAGAAAUAAUUACCGUAUCCCUCGAGGAAAGAGAUAACUCAACCCCUGAAUGAUUCUCUCCUAUCAAUUUAUACGGUAAAGAAUCCUCUCGCGGUUAUUUGCGCUGUAAA